UACGAAGGGUGCAAGCGUUGUUCGGAAUCAUUGGGCGUAAAGGGCGCGUAGGCGGGCGUGAAAGUCGAUUGUGAAAUCCCAAGGCUUAACCUUGGAAUUGCAGUCGAUACUCCACGUCUUGAGUGCUUGAGAGGGUGAUAGAAUUCCUGGUGUAGAGGUGAAAUGCGUAGAGAUGUGGAGGAAUACCGAUGGCGAAGGCAGCCCCCUGGGAUAACACUGACGCUCAUGCACGAAAGCGUGGGGAGCAAACAGG
rnacentral:rRNA from 1 species